rnacentral:rRNA from 1 species
GGUUGAUCCUGCCAGUAGCAUAUGCUUGUCUCAAAGAUUAAGCCAUGCAUGUCUAAGUAUAAACCCCUUUAUACUGUGAAACUGCGUACAGCUCAUUACAUCAGUUAUUAUUUCCUUGAAUGUGACUUUCUACAUGGAUACCCGUAGUAAUUCUAGAGCUAAUACAUGCGCAAGGUCCCGACUUUUCGGAAGGGAUGUGUUUAUUAGAUUCCAAGCCAGCCACGUGGGGGCAACCCCUCGUUCCUCGGUGACUCAUAGUAACUUUACGAAUCGCUGCUUCGGCAGCCGAUGGU